GGUCUUCUAUCUGGAGGACAGGGCCGAGUGGGAAGCGGCGGUUGCACGGAUGCGGGCGCACGGGUUCGAUCCCAUGGAGCCCC
rnacentral:tRNA from 1 species